CUUAGUUGCUACGCGCGGGAGAAGGGGGGCUGGGGCGGGGGCGGGGGUCGUGGAUUGAUUCCCCCCCCACAAAAAAACAACCUAUCUAGGGCGAGUGGCCAGCUGAGGGCGGGUGUGGAUGCUUCUGGUUUAGGAGCAGUGUUUUUGAGCCCCUGGGGUACUGAUGUUGACUUGCUGCGUUGUUCCUCGCCCUGUACGCUCAGCUCGGUUCUCUCUGUUCUCCGUGACGGAAAUGUGGUGGUUUCCUGGCACUGAUUUUGAGAACUGUGAUUACUGGGCAAAGGAUAUUAUCUCUGUUUCCUUGAGAAGAAAUGUGAGAAGGAAUUUGCCGUGAAGUUACAGGCAUUCUCAAUGUCCAAAUCAUCUCCAAAUCAGUACUGGGAUUGCUGACCUCCUUACUGAAUACAAAACCACAGAACAAACAGCCCAGAAAGUGGGGCUAGGAUGGUUGCUGAGGAGAGAAGAACCCCAGCAUCG